rnacentral:hammerhead_ribozyme from 1 species
AUCUAGCUGACUAGUCCAAAAUAGGAUGAAAUGCUCGUCCUGGAU